AGGCAGGCUACCACAGAACAAUAUUGUCAUGACAAUUUUCGUGAAACUUGAACAUUUGGUUUGCAUCAGUUUGCAUUUCGUAGUAAAAGGCAAUAAGAAAUCUAAGAGUGUUGAUAAUCUAUUAAGUUCGGUACGAAACCAAAUUAAAUAUUUAAAGUUCUCAAGAUGGCGGAGUCCUCGUUCCUCUGGUCACUGAUUUGGCUGGCUGUUCUCAUCACAAUCGCCUUCUGGGUGGCGGGGUUCGCGGCUCCGUGCUACAUCAUACUACUGCCGUUCACUGUUUAUAUACAAUCUUUGGAGUCUACCACAAAAUUCUUACUAAAAGCAGUAGAAUUUCCUUUCUACUGCGCAAAGAUGAUGAAGGCAGGAAAAUCAAUUGAAUAACCGUUCUUUGACUGAAUCGAACAGCAAGACGCGUCUCACCGUCUUGUCUUUCUGUUUCAUUCAGUCAAUAUGGUUAUGGUGCGUGGCCUGUAAAUUUUGAUUUAUUUAACUAGUUUUAAGUGAGUGUUUUGUGUUGUUUUACAUUAAAGUUUAAAGUUUUUUUCGAUCCA